CCAGGUGGUGGUGGAUUCAGAUGUGGAGUCUGUCCAGCUGCCCUUCAAAACCAGAGUUAACCUGUCUGAAGAGGAUAAAGUGGAGUGGAAGGACAGAAACAUCAGGAAGGUCCAUGUGUAUCCAGAAGUGUCUGACCAGCCUGAAGAACAAGACCAGGUUUAGAGACACCGAACGCAGAUGAAUAAAGACCUGCUGAAAACUGGAGACCUCAGUCUGAAACUGAAAUACCCCACAGACUGGGACACAAACACCUACACCUGCACCGUCUACAGCAGUUCCUGUAUGCUAAAGAAGAAACAAGAAGUGAAACUUCAAGUCAGAGUCUUCCUCACUGUAAAUCCACAAAAGGCAACCCUUGGCUGUGAGCCAAGACCAGCUGUGACAGGAGAGUUUACUCUGAUGCACAUAGAGCAAAAAUAUAAGUCUGUGAGGUGCAGGUGGAGGAGAGGGCGGAGUCUGUCCAGCUGCCCUUCAAAACCACAGAACUGCCCAAAGAUGCUAAAGUGGAGUGGAAGGACAGAUACAGCAGGAAGGUUCAUGUGUAUCAUAAAACAUCUGACCAGCCUGAAGAACAGGACGAGGAUUAUAGAGAUAAAACAGAGAUGAAUAAAGACCUGCUGGAAACUGGAGAGCUCAGUCUGACUCUGAAAACCCCACACAGGGAAACAUUGGGAGAUACACAUGUUACAUCAGGAGAAAGGGAGACAUGAUCAGAUCGAAAACAGUGAUGUUAAAAGUAACAGUUUCUCGGGUGCCAUUGUCUAGAUAUUGAACUUUGGUUUUAUUAUAGUAAUUUCCUCUUUAUGAUAAGAUAGAAUGAACUUUAAUGUCCCCUUGUUUAAAUUUGUUGUGGACUCUAGGAUUGUCACAGAAUCUGCCUUUACAAAGUCAAUAGACAUUAAAAGAAAAGAGGAAUAGAUAACAGAUAAAUAGUGUGUGUGUGUGUGUGUGUGUGUGUGUGAGAGAGAAUUUAAAUAAAAUCCAGAAGCUGUGCCUUGAUCAUCACAGAAACCUGGCUUCACCCAGGAGUACCUGAAGCUAGCGUGUUGUAUGCUCCCUCUAGGUGCGAUCUUUCAGAAAUACAAUAUCGCUUUUCACUGUUAUGCUGAUGAUAUACAGAUCUACUUUGAACUAACUGAUGAUCUCUGUCUCUGCACUGUUUGUGUGAGGUCAAAUAAUGGCUCUUAGGAAACUCUUAUCUUAAAUGAUAAGAAAACAGAAAUCGUGGUAUUUGAUAGUAAUAUUCCUCGCGGCCAACUUGGUGAUGCCUUUGGUUCCCUUGCCAGUUCCAUCUCUGACACUGUUAGCAAUUUGGGUGUGUUGCUGGAUAGCUCUUUUAAAUUUGAUGAACAAGUGUCUGCUGUAAAUAGAUCUAGCUUCUACCAACUGCAUCUCAUUUCUAAGGCUAGGCAUGCCCUCUGACUGGAACUGGGAGGUUUGCCUCUAUUAUCCCUGUUCUUGCUGAUCUGCACUGCACCCAUUAAAUACUGUAUCCAAUUUAAAAUACUGCUGCUUACUUUUUAAAUUAUCAACAACGCAGCGCCGAGCUACCUUAUCGAAUUCCUUAGAUUGUUCUUGUUAGAGCACUAAGAUCAUCUACUCGGGUAAUCUUGGUGCAGCCGAGAUCUUGGCUGAAAUCUAGAGGUGACCGUGCGUUUGCCUUGGCUGCACCUGAUUUGUAGACUUAUUCUGUUUCUCUUUUAUACAUUUCUUUCAUGCUUUUGUGCUUUUACCAUGUUUUUAUUUGAUGUGCAUUUCAUUGCUAUUUCUGUGUAUU
ensembl:lncRNA